GCGACCAUGGUGUAAUGGUAGCAUGAGAGCCUGUGGAGCUUUAGGCGCGAGUUCGAUUCUCGCUGGUCGCC
rnacentral:tRNA from 1 species